rnacentral:rRNA from 1 species
CCACCUAGAGGAGCCUGUUCUAUAAUCGAUAAACCCCGAUAGACCUUACCAACCCUUGCCAAUUCAGCCUAUAUACCGCCAUCUUCAGCAAACCCUAAAAAGGAACAAUAGUAAGCACAAUCAUAGCACAUAAAAACGUUAGGUCAAGGUGUAGCUUAUGGGUUGGAAAGAAAUGGGCUACAUUUUCUACAUAAGAAUAUCCACCACACGAAAGUUUUUAUGAAACUAAAAACCAAAGGAGGAUUUAGCAGUAAAUCAAGAAUAGAGUGCUUGAUUGAAUAAGGCCAUGAAGCACGCACACACCGCCCGUCACCCUCCUCAAGCAUGUAGUAAUAAAAAUAACCUAUAUUCAAUUACACAACCAUGCAAGAAGAGACAAGUCGUAACAAGGUAAGCAUACUGGA